rnacentral:rRNA from 1 species
CCGGCUUUUUCCCCUUACGCUGGCGGCGAGAGGGCGCCGAAAGCUCAAAUUUGAAAUCGGGUACUUUCAGGAUCCGAGUUGUAAUUUGGGGAAGCAACUUUGGUGAUGCCCUUUGCUUAAGUUCCUUGGAAUAGGACGUCAUAGAGGGGGAGAAUCCCGUUUAUGGUGAAGAACCCACACUAUGUAAAGUGCUUUCGAAGAGUCGAGUUGUUUGGGAAUGCAGUUCAAAGUGGGUGUUAAAUUCCAUCUAAAGCUAAAUAUUGGCGAGAGACCGAGCGCGAACAAGUACUGUGAAGGAAAGAUGAAAAGAACUUUGAAAAGAGAGUGAAAAAGUGCGUGAAAUUGUUGAAAGGGAGGGGAUCUAAAUCAGACAUGGUAUUUUGUGAUCAACAGUCUUUCGGGACUGUGCCCUCGCAUUUUACUAGGCCAGCGUCGGUUAGAAGGGGGUAAAAAAGAUUUUGGAUUGUGGCUCCUCGGAGUGUUAUAGCCAAGGUUAAUUGCCCCAUUUCUGACCGAGGACCGCGUCUUUUGACUAGGAUGCUGGCUUAAUGGUUUUGUUCCACCCGUCUUGAAACAGGGACAA